AUCUAAAUUAUCAGUUUAUUAAAUUUUAAUUUGUAAGUUGAAAGCACUAAAACAAAAAGGUAAAUAGUUCCAAUUCAAAGGGAGAAUUAUAGACAUCAAUCCAACAGCAUUAACAGUAGUUUUUCAUGAUAGUGACACCUGAUCUUUAACAUUUUUGUUUGGGUCUCUGACUGUGAACAAACUUGGAAAAGGUUGGUUCUGGUUAGAUCUUGGAGCUAUGGCAAAAAAACAAUAGGUACUAACUGGUCUAUGGGGAAAUUAAAUGCAUAUUUGGGUUGUAGAUUAAAAACUUAGCUGAUAUGAUUGAUACGUUUUAACAACAUUGACAAG
rnacentral:lncRNA from 1 species